AUUUGAUGCCUGGCAGUUCCCUACUCUCGCAUGGGGAGACCCCACACUACCAUCGGCGCUACGGCGUUUCACUUCUGAGUUCGGCAUGGGGUCAGGUGGGACCACCGCGCUANNNNNNNNNNNNNNNNNNNNUCAGGUGGGACCACCGCGCUACUGCCGCCAGGCAAAUUCUGUUAUCAGACCGUUUUUACGUUCUGAUGUAAUCUGAAUCAGUGCUGAAAAUCGUCUCUCAUCCGCNNNNNNNNNNNNNNNNNNNNGAAUCAGUGCUGAAAAUCGUCUCUCAUCCGCCAAAACAUCUUCGGCGUUGUAAGGUUAAGCCUCACGGUUCAUUAGUACCGGUUAGCUCAACGCAUCGCUGCGCUUACACACCCGGCCUAUCAACGUCGUCGUCUUCAACGUUCCUUCAGGAGACCUAAAGUCUCAGGGAGAACUCAUCUCGGGGCAAGUUUCGUGCUUAGAUGCUUUCAGCACUUAUCUCUUCCGCAUUUAGCUACCGGGCAGUGCCAUUGGCAUGACAACCCGAACACCAGUGAUGCGUCCACUCCGGUCCUCUCGUACUAGGAGCAGCCCCCCUCAGUUCUCCAGCGCCCACGGCAGAUAGGGACCGAACUGUCUCACGACGUUCUAAACCCAGCUCGCGUACCACUUUAAAUGGCGAACAGCCAUACCCUUGGGACCUACUUCAGCCCCAGGAUGUGAUGAGCCGACAUCGAGGUGCCAAACACCGCCGUCGAUAUGAACUCUUGGGCGGUAUCAGCCUGUUAUCCCCGGAGUACCUUUUAUCCGUUGAGCGAUGGCCCUUCCAUUCAGAACCACCGGAUCACUAUGACCUGCUUUCGCACCUGCUCGCGCCGUCACGCUCGCAGUCAAGCUGGCUUAUGCCAUUGCACUAACCUCCUGAUGUCCGACCAGGAUUAGCCAACCUUCGUGCUCCUCCGUUACUCUUUAGGAGGAGACCGCCCCAGUCAAACUACCCACCAGACACUGUCCGCAACCCGGGUAACGGGUCCACGUUAGAACAUCAAACAUUAAAGGGUGGUAUUUCAAGGUCGGCUCCAUGCAGACUGGCGUCCACACUUCAAAGCCUCCCACCUAUCCUACACAUCAAGGCUCAAUGUUCAGUGUCAAGCUAUAGUAAAGGUUCACGGGGUCUUUCCGUCUUGCCGCGGGUACACUGCAUCUUCACAGCGAGUUCAAUUUCACUGAGUCUCGGGUGGAGACAGCCUGGCCAUCAUUACGCCAUUCGUGCAGGUCGGAACUUACCCGACAAGGAAUUUCGCUACCUUAGGACCGUUAUAGUUACGGCCGCCGUUUACCGGGGCUUCGAUCAGGAGCUUCGCUUGCGCUGACCCCAUCAAUUAACCUUCCGGCACCGGGCAGGCGUCACACCGUAUACGUCCACUUUCGUGUUUGCACAGUGCUGUGUUUUUAAUAAACAGUUGCAGCCAGCUGGUAUCUUCGACUGACUUCAGCUCCAUGAGUAAAUCACUUCACCUACGUGUCAGCGUGCCUUCUCCCGAAGUUACGGCACCAUUUUGCCUAGUUCCUUCACCCGAGUUCUCUCAAGCGCCUUGGUAUUCUCUACCUGACCACCUGUGUCGGUUUGGGGUACGAUUUGAUGUUACCUGAUGCUUAGAGGCUUUUCCUGGAAGCAGGGCAUUUGUUGCUUCAGCACCGUAGUGCCUCGUCGUCACGCCUCAGUGUUAAAGUGAACCGGAUUUACCUGGAACACACACCUACACGCUUAAACCGGGACAACCGUCGCCCGGCCAACAUAGCCUUCUCCGUCCCCCCNNNNNNNNNNNNNNNNNNNNCCCCCCUUCGCAGUAACACCAAGUACGGGAAUAUUAACCCGUUUCCCAUCGACUACGCCUUUCGGCCUCGCCUUAGGGGUCGACUCACCCUGCCCCGAUUAACGUUGGACAGGAACCCUUGGUCUUCCGGCGAGCGGGCUUUUCACCCGCUUUAUCGUUACUUAUGUCAGCAUUCGCACUUCUGAUACCUCCAGCAACCCUCACAGGCC
rnacentral:rRNA from 1 species